ACUACUCUAGGCUACUGUUUUAUUCAUAAUUUAUUUCAGAAGCCCAAAUUAUCUCCUACAAUAUCACCUCUGGUUCCAAAAUUUCCUUUAAUUCUGUUUCCGGAUUUCAAACGCAUAGAUUUCUUCUACAAUUUUUUUUAACGUAAAAUGGUGCUUGGAGGUUCGAAAGGACAGGUAAAUUGAGGUUUCUUUAAUGGUACCGCCAGAGUCAAUUUACAUUGGAUAGGAAAUCACUUGAUGCAAAUAAGAAGUAAAUCGGAUUGCACGACGCUAAGAUGGUAAGAUACUGAAGACGAGGCAAGACAGAGAUUCGGAUUAUGAAAGGUAAGAUACUAAAGACGAUGUAAGCCAGAGAUUCAGAUUUAUGAAAUGCUUUCUAUGCCAUCAAUGUCAUUCCCUAUAUAUCAUAAGUUCACAUCUUCUGAUCCCCCUGUCCAUUGACUUAUAAUCUUUGCUUUGGUCUCCCCGUAAUUUCUUAUUCUUCUUUUCUUGGAGACUAUUUCAAUGUCAUGGGGAUAUUUCAUAUUUGACCCGGCUGGGCUAUUAUCCUUAGCUCUAGGUGAGCAUGCUACAUGUAGAAAAGUUCCCCAGUUAAUUUGGAGUUCGGAGAGACAUGGACUUUAAUAAUUAUAUACAGAGAGAUUAAUUUCUGUAAAUUUAAGUUGGUUUCCUUAUUGGCUUGUGUUUACGGUCCAUUUUGUUAUUUUACUGAAACUAUUUUAAUUAGUUUUAGUUGUGCAACGAUAAGAUUCUUUGUAAUUUAGAUGCGCGUUCUUCAAUUUAGAUUGUAAAUGGUUUUACUUACUAACAAUACAACGAAGUGAGAUGUGCUUCUUAGCUUUCGUUUUUAUAUGGUGUGUGAGUUGAUAAAUUGUGCAAAGAAGCUUACCCAGAAGUAACUAUAAGUAAAUUUUAUUUGCUCAUAUAUAAAAUAUCCUACUAGAUUUUAGUAUUUCAGGCGCUGUUUGUGCACCUUUCGUGCUCAUCGGAUUAUGAUUUAUUUCAUUUCAUAUUUAGAAUUCAUAAUGAAAUCUUUACUAGCCUGUUUGCUCACUCUCCAAAAUGGAGGAAGUACUCAUGUUGACACUACACGACACCAGUAGUGGUAUAGGAUCUGGCUACGAUCCCUCAACUUGAAAGAGGAUGUGGCAUGAAGAUGAAAGCCAUUGUUGAGAAAUGAGUUGGAGAAAGAGACCCAGCAAACGGGAACUGCUGAAGUGAAACACUGUGUGCCUAAUUGAUAAAGUAUAAAAAGAGGCUUCUAAAGAAGCCUGGUCAUCUAGUUUCAAGCACUAAAAGCUAUUUUAAAAAAAAACUAGGCCGUUGAAAAAGUCGUGAAUUUUCAAGCCAUCAAGUCGAACCAGCCCCUCGAUGCUACACAUCAACCCCCAAUGGAUUAAUUCAAUCAGCAAGAGUAACUAGCAAAAAAAUUGUUGUCUAUUUGUUUUGAAGUUUACAAUUAAAAUAUAUCCCUAAAAAUGCAUCUAAAAUAUUAAUAUUCUAAAAGAAAAUAUGUGCUAAUAAGACUUAUCCAUGUCCAAAAGUUCGAUCAAUUUCAGCCGUAUCCAUGUAAUCUAAAUUUUAAAGAGAAAGGGAUCCCUCCUAGAUUUGUACCCAUAGCCAAGUUCGAGAAAAAAAGUUACUAGCAUCAUGAUAGGCUCCAAUGGCACAUGGAUAAUUCCAUUUAGUUAGUUAAAGUAGGGGACAGGUAUGGGGAUUGAGUAGGGUGUUCGUUUGUCAUUAGGCUAAAAUCAAGAGGAAAUUGGUGGGAGAGAGUGAUCCUCUUGAAUGCUCACAUUUAUCUGUAAUUGUUUACAUUUUCAAUUUGUAAUACAUUUUCAGUAUGUAUUCAAUCGAAUACCAAAAAAAAAAAGGAUGAUUUUCUAGAUAUUCUGCUUUCUUCAUCCUUUACAGAAUUAUAAACAAAUAUACGAACACAACUGCUAUACAAACCCAGCAUCAUUUCUCUAAUUGCCUUGUUUGUCAGCAUCAGAUCUUAGGAUCCAAUCAAAUGGUAACAAAGAUUUGUGCUUCUCAAAUGCUCAGCAAUUUAUUGUAAUUCCUUAUAUUCAGCUUGUAAUUUGAGACAGUAAUUCAUAACCCGUGUUUUUUUUGUACCUAUCAAAUUGGUUCAGAGCACACCUGGGAGAAGCAAUGUAGACAACUAUGGAGCAACUCAGAGAUAGAAUCUGAUUGAAAGUACUAAUGAUGGAGAAGAUGAUUCAGAAAUUGCGGAAACGAUGAUAAACUAAGCCGAUUUGAGUUAUUAUGUAGGCAAUACUAUACUUGUGUUCGAUGGA